rnacentral:rRNA from 1 species
AAAGCCUACGGGGGGCAGCAGUGAGGAAUAUUGGUCAAUGGGAGGAAUCCUGAACCAGCCAUGCCGCGUGCAGGACGACGGCUCUACGAGUUGUAAACUGCUUUUGUACCGGGGUAAAAUGCCUUACGAGUAGGGUUUUGGAAGUACGGUACGAAUAAGGAUCGGCUAACUCCGUGCCAGCAGCCGCGGUAAUACGGAGGAUCCGAGCGUUAUCCGGAUUCAUUGGGUUUAAAGGGUGCGUAGGCGGUCGGAUAAGUUAGAGGUGAAAUCCCGAGGCUCAACUUCGGAAUUGCCUCU